UUUUCUUUGCCAUUUUAAGACGGUUUUAGCGAUGCAAACGCAAGCAAGGCGAAGAACUAGUGGUGAUUUUGCUCACUGGCAUUUUCUAGUGCCUGUGUUGAGUAAAUGCAUUUGUUUCGUAUCUCUGGUUUCCGUUCGUACGAGCACAUUGCUUGGUCACUUUUUAAUGUCUAUUGAACGUUUUUAAAGCUAAUGCUUUUGACGUUAAUAUACGAAGUAGCUGUUGAAAGUUACUUCCUUCAAAAGCGAAUGUAAUUCUCUCCUAAGAAUUUUAGUACGAUAUAUAAGUUCCAGAUAUUUAUUUGAAUCAUAGAAGAGGAAAUCCAACAGCUACCCGACAAUGAAGUCGAAAAGUCGACGAGAAACGACACUGAUGGCAGAAAAGCUCCUCCUCUCCAUGGGGAUACGGGCGUGGGACACGGAGAGUCGCAGCCUGGAGAAGCAGCUGAAGGUGAAGCAGAUGAAUUUUCCGUGACAAAUGUUUUCCAACGUUUCUUGGGGGAGGUCCUCGAAAAGCCCGAAGAGGAGGACCAGAACUGGUUUUGUGGUUGCUGCAGAGGCUGGCGAUGGAAGUGCUGGUGACCCGGAAAACACAGCGAGACCUGCCCUUCUCUUUGAUCGGAGAUGUGUCGGCGGAAUCACUUCAUUAGAAAAAUAGACUAUCAGUCAAUACACAAAUAAAGGACAUGCAGAUUGUUAACUAAUUAGACAUUAAUUGUGAGAUCUGUAAAUAUUACUACAAAUUAAAUAUAAAAAUUUCUCAGUUAAUACCUAGG